rnacentral:rRNA from 1 species
AUGGCAAAGUACUGGUGGUCAAGCUCGAUUGAUAAAAGGGCUCUCCACUGGCUGUCUUGGGACAAAUUGGCGUCACCAAAAAUCAAAGGUGGGAUGGGUUUCAAAGAUCUCCCACUUUUCAAUCUAGCUAUGCUUGGCAAACAAGGGUGGCGCCUCUUGACACAUCCACACUCUCUUUGUGCUCGUGUGUUGAAGGGGAAGUACUACCCUAACACAGAUUUUCUUCAUGCUACUGUUCCGGCGAGAGCCUCGGCGACGUGGAAGGCCAUUGUUGCGGGC